rnacentral:rRNA from 1 species
UACGGGAGCAGCAGUGGGGAAUAUUGCACAAUGGGCGCAAGCCUGAUGCAGCCAUGCCGCGUGUAUGAAGAAGGCCUUCGGGUUGUAAAGUACUUUCAGUCGUGAGGAAGGUGUUAAGGUUAAUAACCUUAGCAAUUGACGUUAGCGACAGAAGAAGCACCGGCUAACUCCGUGCCAGCAGCCGCGGUAAUACGGAGGGUGCGAGCGUUAAUCGGAAUUACUGGGCGUAAAGGGCACGCAGGCGGUUAAUUAAGUUGGAUGUGAAAUCCCCGGGCUUAACCUGGGAAUGGCAUUCAAGACUGGUUAGCUAGAGUCUUGUAGAGGGGGUAGAAUUCCAUGUGUAGCGGUGAAAUGCGUAGAGAUGUGGAGGAAUACCGGUGGCGAAGGCGGCCCCUGGACAAAGACUGACGCUCAUGUGCGAAAGCUGGGGA